rnacentral:rRNA from 1 species
UACGAAGGUGGCAAGCGUUGUUCGGAUUUACUGGGCGUAAAGGGAGCGUAGGUGGUUAGGUAAGCCCUCCGGGAAAUCUUCAGGCUUAACCUGAAAAGGUCGGGGGGGACUGCCUAGCUAGAGGGCGGGAGAGGAGCGCGGAAUUCCCGGUGUAGCGGUGAAAUGCGUAGAGAUCGGGAGGAAGGCCGGUGGCGAAGGCGGCUCACUGGCCCGGUACUGACGCUGAGGUGCGAAAGCGUGGGGAGCAAACAGG